CUGCCAUCCUCAAGAGGGAGCUGAUACCAUGGUCUGCUCCAACUGUUUUCAUUUCUUCUUGCUGAUCGAGUUCUACAAGAUGAUGUCGGGAUUCAAUGAUCUCAUGGAUUAAAGAACAUGCUAUACACCAAAACGUUCUUUGCGUUUACAAGUUCAUGUUCUUCAUAACCUUUAAAUUUCUCAUUUUGGAUUUUUGGUACACGUUCAAGAUAUCUUGAAUUUGUAUUCCUUGCUUACUUUGUUUCCAUUUUGCAUUUCCCAUUAAAAUACUUUUUAAAAUAAUACGAAAAAAACAUUGCUAUAACAUGACAAAAUAUAUAUAUAUACUUCCCAUGCAAUGAAGCAUGCAAAAUAGUCAAGAUGAUUUGUUUUAAAUGACAAAUUUAUUGUUAUACAAGCACAAUUUUUUUUAAAAAAAUGAAUGUUAUAGAAUUACUAUUUGAUAAAUUGUGUAUGAAAUCCAAUGUCAUUAAAAAUAAAAAAACCUACUAUUUAAUAAAACGUUUUGAAAACUAAUGUUAUUGAGAAUAGUUAAAAUUAUAAUUUUCAGGAGACUUCUAAUCAUUUUAGAAUGUUUAAGUAAAGUUUCUUAUUUAAAAAAAAAACAAAUCUCAUAAUUUUAUAUGUGAUUUUAGAAUGGUCUAACAAAAAUCAUCAUUAAAACUCAAUUGAUCUAAAAUAAUUAAAUUUACUAACAAUCAAUUUCCAGUGAAUGCAUGAAUGAUUACGAUUAUCGAAGACUGAAGAAGUGAACGCAUGAAUGAUUAUCACGAUCAGCAUUGCUUAUCUUCCUCACAGAAGUUCGACAAUCUAAAUGCCUCAUUGAUCUUCCCAUUGAUAUGUACACAAAAAAACGCUGAGAGGAUCUAAGAUGGUUACUGAGAUAUUCAUUUCCAGUGACGUAGAAUAUUUAUUUUAAAUUUAAUUUAUCAGUUCUUUCAAAAUGCUCAGUUUAAGAGCUCAACCCCUUUACCAUAACUUAGUAAAACGAAAUUGAAAAUAAAGAAAACCGCAUGGAUACAACACCAGAUAUUACACUGAGAUACGAAACAUGCGCUCAUAUAUCAACUCCAAAAUAUAAACACUUAAAAACACUAACUUCCCGUAAAGACUAUACCAAUUUAAACACUUUUUAAGAUGCAAAACCUUUCAACAACACUCAACUACAUCACUCCUAACAACUAAAUACCAAAACACAAGAUUUUGAAAAUUGGAUCAAAUAAAAUAUCCGAACCC
rnacentral:lncRNA from 1 species